rnacentral:rRNA from 1 species
UACGAAGGGGGCUAGCGUUGCUCGGAAUCACUGGGCGUAAAGCGCACGUAGGCGGAUUGUUAAGUCGGGGGUGAAAUCCUGGAGCUCAACUCCAGAACUGCCUUUGAUACUGGCGAUCUUGAGUCCGGGAGAGGUGAGUGGAACUGCGAGUGUAGAGGUGAAAUUCGUAGAUAUUCGCAAGAACACCAGUGGCGAAGGCGGCUCACUGGCCCGGUACUGACGCUGAGGUGCGAAAGCGUGGGGAGCAAACAG